rnacentral:rRNA from 1 species
GAUCAUGGCUCAGGAUGAACGCUAGCUACAGGCUUAACACAUGCAAGUCGAGGGGCAGCAAGACCUAGCAAUAGGUUGAUGGCGACCGGCGCACGGGUGAGUAACACGUAUCCAACCUACCGGUUAUUCCGGGAUAGCCUUUCGAAAGAAAGAUUAAUACCGGAUAGUAUAACGAGAAGGCAUCUUCUUGUUAUUAAAGAAUUUCGAUAACCGAUGGGGAUGCGUUCCAUUAGUUUGUUGGCGGGGUAACGGCCAACCAAG